GGUUAAGCGACUAAGCGUACACGGUGGAUGCCCUGGCAGUCAGAGGCGAUGAAGGACGUGCUAAUCUGCGAUAAGCGUCGGUAAGGUGAUAUGAACCGUUAUAACCGGCGAUUUCCGAAUGGGGAAACCCAGUGUGUUUCGACACACUAUCAUUAACUGAAUCCAUAGGUUAAUGAGGCGAACCGGGGGAACUGAAACAUCUAAGUACCCCGAGGAAAAGAAAUCAACCGAGAUUCCCCCAGUAGCGGCGAGCGAACGGGGAGCAGCCCAGAGCCUGAAUCAGUGUGUGUGUUAGUGGAAGCGUCUGGAAAGGCGCGCGAUACAGGGUGACAGCCCCGUACACAAAAAUGCACAUGCUGUGAGCUCGAUGAGUAGGGCGGGACACGUGGUAUCCUGUCUGAAUAUGGGGGGACCAUCCUCCAAGGCUAAAUACUCCUGACUGACCGAUAGUGAACCAGUACCGUGAGGGAAAGGCGAAAAGAACCCCGGCGAGGGGAGUGAAAAAGAACCUGAAACCGUGUACGUACAAGCAGUGGGAGCACGCUUAGGCGUGUGACUGCGUACCUUUUGUAUAAUGGGUCAGCGACUUAUAUUCUGUAGCAAGGUUAACCGAAUAGGGGAGCCGAAGGGAAACCGAGUCUUAACUGGGCGUUAAGUUGCAGGGUAUAGACCCGAAACCCGGUGAUCUAGCCAUGGGCAGGUUGAAGGUUGGGUAACACUAACUGGAGGACCGAACCGACUAAUGUUGAAAAAUUAGCGGAUGACUUGUGGCUGGGGGUGAAAGGCCAAUCAAACCGGGAGAUAGCUGGUUCUCCCCGAAAGCUAUUUAGGUAGCGCCUCGUGAAUUCAUCUCCGGGGGUAGAGCACUGUUUCGGCAAGGGGGUCAUCCCGACUUACCAACCCGAUGCAAACUGCGAAUACCGGAGAAUGUUAUCACGGGAGACACACGGCGGGUGCUAACGUCCGUCGUGAAGAGGGAAACAACCCAGACCGCCAGCUAAGGUCCCAAAGUCAUGGUUAAGUGGGAAACGAUGUGGGAAGGCCCAGACAGCCAGGAUGUUGGCUUAGAAGCAGCCAUCAUUUAAAGAAAGCGUAAUAGCUCACUGGUCGAGUCGGCCUGCGCGGAAGAUGUAACGGGGCUAAACCAUGCACCGAAGCUGCGGCAGCGACGCUGAUGCGUUGUUGGGUAGGGGAGCGUUCUGUAAGCCUGCGAAGGUGUGCUGUGAGGCAUGCUGGAGGUAUCAGAAGUGCGAAUGCUGACAUAAGUAACGAUAAAGCGGGUGAAAAGCCCGCUCGCCGGAAGACCAAGGGUUCCUGUCCAACGUUAAUCGGGGCAGGGUGAGUCGACCCCUAAGGCGAGGCCGAAAGGCGUAGUCGAUGGGAAACAGGUUAAUAUUCCUGUACUUGGUGUUACUGCGAAGGGGGGACGGAGAAGGCUAUGUUGGCCGGGCGACGGUUGUCCCGGUUUAAGCGUGUAGGCUGGUUUUCCAGGCAAAUCCGGAAAAUCAAGGCUGAGGCGUGAUGACGAGGCACUACGGUGCUGAAGCAACAAAUGCCCUGCUUCCAGGAAAAGCCUCUAAGCAUCAGGUAACAUCAAAUCGUACCCCAAACCGACACAGGUGGUCAGGUAGAGAAUACCAAGGCGCUUGAGAGAACUCGGGUGAAGGAACUAGGCAAAAUGGUGCCGUAACUUCGGGAGAAGGCACGCUGAUAUGUAGGUGAAGUCCCUCGCGGAUGGAGCUGAAAUCAGUCGAAGAUACCAGCUGGCUGCAACUGUUUAUUAAAAACACAGCACUGUGCAAACACGAAAGUGGACGUAUACGGUGUGACGCCUGCCCGGUGCCGGAAGGUUAAUUGAUGGGGUCAGCGCAAGCGAAGCUCUUGAUCGAAGCCCCGGUAAACGGCGGCCGUAACUAUAACGGUCCUAAGGUAGCGAAAUUCCUUGUCGGGUAAGUUCCGACCUGCACGAAUGGCGUAAUGAUGGCCAGGCUGUCUCCACCCGAGACUCAGUGAAAUUGAACUCGCUGUGAAGAUGCAGUGUACCCGCGGCAAGACGGAAAGACCCCGUGAACCUUUACUAUAGCUUGACACUGAACAUUGAGCCUUGAUGUGUAGGAUAGGUGGGAGGCUUUGAAGUGUGGACGCCAGUCUGCAUGGAGCCGACCUUGAAAUACCACCCUUUAAUGUUUGAUGUUCUAACGUUGACCCGUGAUCCGGGUUGCGGACAGUGUCUGGUGGGUAGUUUGACUGGGGCGGUCUCCUCCUAAAGAGUAACGGAGGAGCACGAAGGUUGGCUAAUCCUGGUCGGACAUCAGGAGGUUAGUGCAAUGGCAUAAGCCAGCUUGACUGCGAGCGUGACGGCGCGAGCAGGUGCGAAAGCAGGUCAUAGUGAUCCGGUGGUUCUGAAUGGAAGGGCCAUCGCUCAACGGAUAAAAGGUACUCCGGGGAUAACAGGCUGAUACCGCCCAAGAGUUCAUAUCGACGGCGGUGUUUGGCACCUCGAUGUCGGCUCAUCACAUCCUGGGGCUGAAGUAGGUCCCAAGGGUAUGGCUGUUCGCCAUUUAAAGUGGUACGCGAGCUGGGUUUAGAACGUCGUGAGACAGUUCGGUCCCUAUCUGCCGUGGGCGCUGGAGAACUGAGGGGGGCUGCUCCUAGUACGAGAGGACCGGAGUGGACGCAUCACUGGUGUUCGGGUUGUCAUGCCAAUGGCACUGCCCGGUAGCUAAAUGCGGAAGAGAUAAGUGCUGAAAGCAUCUAAGCACGAAACUUGCCCCGAGAUGAGUUCUCCCUGACUCCUUGAGAGUCCUGAAGGAACGUUGAAGACGACGACGUUGAUAGGCCGGGUGUGUAAGCGCAGCGAUGCGUUGAGCUAACCGGUACUAAUGAACCGUGAGGCUUAACCUU
rnacentral:rRNA from 1 species